rnacentral:piRNA from 1 species
GUGCUCACUCUGGGCCAUACUGUGG